CUCCUCUAAUCUCUGGUGUUGCCGACUGCCGUGUUCGCAUCAUCUUACAUUUAAAAACGAGAUUAAAAGAAAAACAGAAAUAAGAAUAUUUCUAUAUUUCUAUUGCAUUUAAAGUAAUUAUCUCUUUAUUACAACUAUUUUAUUAAAAUUUACGUAGAUAAUUUCAGCUUUUUUAUGUUUAAGACAGAGAAAGAGAAUUAUGUCACUUGAUCAGACUGUUUGCGAAGGUAUUGUGUGUUAUUCAAGAUUAAGAAACAUCUUACAAUUAAGAAUGCAAGCUGCUUAAAAAUUGUCAAAAAUUUACAGAAAAUGCUGUUCAAAAUUGAAACAUGUUUUUUUUGCUUGGCAAGGUAGUUGGCCAGGUUUUCAAACAGUUUUCUUCAACCGUUUCCUUAAAACCCUUUUUUGCUUGUUUAUUAAUAUGUGCAUCAAAACCAUCUGCAAAAUAUAAAAAAAUUGUUUGAUAUUGAUGUAAAUACGUAUAAAAUUGUUUUUAAAUAAUUGCCAUUGUCCAAUAUUUCAACCAAUGUUUUAUGGCCAAGAGCAAUUUUUGGUUAAUCAAGACCUAACUUUUAAUAAAAAAAGUAAAGUUAUGAAUAAGGUUAUAACAAAUAAUUAAUUUCUGUAACUUUUUUAUAAAAGUGGAAUAAUAUUUAAUAAUUUAGAAUAUUAAGUUUAUAAUCUCUAAAAUUAUAAUAGCUAAUAAUUUAUUUCAUAGACUUAUAUUUAUAAAUUUCAAUUAUAAAUAUUAUAACUUAUUAAACACUACUUAUUCAUAUGCAUUUAAUUUUGGAUUUCAUCACAUAAAAAACCUAAAAUCUUUUGAAAGAAGACUGACAGAAGUUAUUUCAAGUUUACAGCCUGCAACUUUGCGUUGGAGGUUGCUAUUAUGCUUUGUAUCAAUGUGUACAGCAAUUGGAGCUUGGUACUGGCUAACAGAUCCGAAUACGUCAGCAGUGCCUUUUACACAAAGCUUAUGGAAUCAUCCAUUUUUUACAUUAGCAAGUUUUUUGUUAGUAAUACUAUUUAUGGUGGGAAUUCACCGUCGAGUUAUAGCACCGAGUAUUAUAACGCAAAGAGUUCGAAACGUCCUUGGAGAUUUUAACAUGAGUUGUGAUGAUACAGGAAAACUUAUUUUAAAGCCAACUCGACCACCUCAUUUACAUGAAAGCUAAUCAGAAUCAAUAAAUUUUGUCAUAUAACAUUUAAGUUUUAUAAAAUAAACACAUACA